rnacentral:snRNA from 1 species
AUAUAUUUUGUAAAAAAAAAAAAAUAAAAAAAAAAUAUAUAUAAAUCUGUUCUUAUCAGUUUAAUAUCUGAUACGUCCCCCAUCGGGGGACUACAUAUUAAAUGGAUUUUUCGAACAGGGAGUCGGAAAUGGGGCUUGCUCCGUCCGCUCCACGCAUCGACCCGGUAUUGCAGUACCUCCGGGAACGGUGCAACACUU